AUUGAACGCUGGCGGCAUGCCUUACACAUGCAAGUCGAACGGUAACGCGGGGCAACCUGGCGACGAGUGGCGAACGGGUGAGUAAUGUAUCGGAACGUGCCCAGUUGUGGGGGAUAACUGCUCGAAAGAGCAGCUAAUACCGCAUACGACCUGAGGGUGAAAGCGGGGGAUCGCAAGACCUCGCGCAAUUGGAGCGGCCGAUAUCAGAUUAGGUAGUUGGUGGGGUAAAGGCCUACCAAGCCGACGAUCUGUAGCUGGUCUGAGAGGACGACCAGCCACACUGGGACUGAGACACGGCCCAGACUCCUACGGGAGGCAGCAGUGGGGAAUUUUGGACAAUGGGCGCAAGCCUGAUUCAGCCAUGCCGCGUGCGGGAAGAAGGCCUUCGGGUUGUAAACCGCUUUUGUCAGGGAAGAAAAGACUCCUGUUAAUACCGGGGGUUCAUGACGGUACCUGAAGAAUAAGCACCGGCUAACUACGUGCCAGCCGCCGCCGUAACAC
rnacentral:rRNA from 1 species